GACAUCUUCGGACAAAAGGAAGUUUGAAUACCCCACCCGAAGGGCAGUCGUCGGAUAACCGUCGCCAGAGGCCUGCUCGCCCAGACCCGGAUACGACGGGCUCUGGAGGUUCCGAAGCCCCCUGAGCAGUAAACGCCUUACUAUUUUCGGACAUACUCCAUGAAAAUCUUCCUUGGUCGCUCUUAGUUUUCACCGCUCAGACUGGACCUUACCGGCAAGGGAGACACUGCCAGGCACCGAAGUUCCCGCCGGCAUCGCUCCAGUCUCCAUCGCGGGUACUUAAGCCCCUAUACCACGACAAGGUGGCGACCGCAUAGGGGAAGGUCCCACAAUAAAGGAGGAUGUGGACGAGCCGGCAUUUGUUUCACCACCGGGACCUACUGGAAUGUUACUUGUUGACGUGACGACGUUUGUUUCACCAUCGUGGUGUACGAGGGGCGGAACGAUGUAGGAAUUGUUACAUAGCCUUGUGACUUAUUAAGUUUGAAUACUUCGUGCGGCAAAAGUGCACUGUGAUGGACUUUGAUCCUAGUAACUGGAAUCGAUAAGAGGAUGUGAAUUGAAAGAAUAGAAUUAAGCCGGUAUACUAAGCCUAAGUGUAGCAUAUUACCCAUAUGAAUAAGGACGUUACAAGUGUUAAUUGUGGAAUGUUCUCGCGGAGCCUAAAUUCUGCGUUCUCGAUUUUGACGCACUGAGAAAUGCACUUUUGUACUGCCAAAUUCAGUCCAAAUAUGGCAGCAGAAAUGUGCGCAUGUGGUCCAAGUAUCUACAUGGAUUCUCUUUAUGCAUUGGCAUGUCAGAAGAUCCUCAUACACCUCUGGAUAAUCAGCAGGGUUUACUUCAUCCACAUAUCCAAUUCUCCUCCUUCGUCUUCCUCGCUACGGAAAAGAUUGUGAGGGACCGGCAUUCUGUCCUGAAUCACUUUCAGGACCGAGAUCAGUGAUUCCAAUUUUUUAAUUUGAGCUGGAUUAAUAUUUAAAUCCAACACAUAUACUAUAUCGUA